GUGGGUGUAGCUCAGCGGUUAGAGCACUUGACUGUGGCUCAAGGGGCCGGGGGUUCAAUUCCCCUCAUCCACC
rnacentral:tRNA from 1 species